AACGCUUGCCAAUACAGCCGGCAGAGUGAGUCCAGGAAACGACGAACUACGAGCGUUUAUUCCUCUAGUAUUGGGAAACAAACGCUCUAAUAAAAAACAUGUUGAAUUAGGUUGUCCACCAGCCUGGGUCACAACCGUCAGACCUGAGUGAGUGUAAAUAUAUGCCCACAAGGUGACAGGUUGUCAACCUGUUGCAGAAAAAGCCUUUUUGUAAAACAACACGGGAAGAAGAAUACCCGUGCGCCCAGCCCAAGAAUAGACAUGAAUCCAAAUGAAUUUGUGGGGCAUCCCAACAGUAAAUCCAAAUCAUUACAAUUCAGUGCGAGGAACCCUCAAGGCCUGCAGAUAGAGAGUGUGACUCUGGCCCAGCAGGGCAACGUGAUGGAAGACAUGCUGAAAAAGCUGAAAGAGAGCAUGAAAAAAGAGAAAGGCGAGAGGGGGCACCCAGGAAUUCUUCAGUGGAAGGCAGGACAAUAUGGGUCAAUAAACAGCUGUGCUCCAAUACCCAACCCUAAGAAACCACAAAAGCAGCUGUCAGCAGGCAAGGUGAAGAUUCGUGUGCUGAAGGAUGAACCUUUAACAGCUCCACCUCAUCUACCUUUGUGUGAAAGCUGCUGCUGUCCUCAGCCACCAAGACAAAACAAGAUGAAGGGACCAAACUUUGGACAAGGUGAUACGGCAACUGAUAGACAGAUGUUUGCUGGGGAUUGUGGACAAGACAGAAGGGCGGCGAUGACUAAGAAGGAACAGAAUGUUCAAAAGUCUUUUCAAGAUUCCCUUCUUGGUGGAGACUAUGAUGAGGAGGAGUCUGCAAGAUCUUUCCAAGAAGCUCUCAAACAGUGGAGACAAGAGAGAAGUGUUGGUCCCGAAGAACAAGCAACUAUGUGGACACAAACAGCAUCAAAGUCAGGUGUAGCUACUCAGACCGGCUUUCCUCCAGAGCGAGACCAUGAAAGACAAGGUACAGGAUGGGGAAAUGGCAAGGUACCGAUCAAGGUGGAGUUCCAUGAGAGCAGACUCACCUACAUGGACAGGUUGCUUCUCAAAAAGCACCGCAGCACCCCACUUGAGGCUUGUCAUCCACCAUGGGUCUGCUCUACAGCUUUGGAAUCUAUGAAUGAUACACUCAUUGAAGCGAAACAGGCGAGCAGCCGAAGAGGUCAAGAUGAAGAUUUCCGAGGCUAUUGUGCAUUAUUGUUUGCGGUCCCCGUCAGCGAGAUCGGGUUUGGACCUCUAAACGCUACACUCGACGUGCUGGAUGAUAAACAAUCUACAAAGUUAUGUCUUCUCCAGACUGACAGAGACCAAGUCAUUGCUGAGCAAAGCCCACACAAAGGAAACAUCCCUUUUGUCAAGCCAGCAUCCAGCAAAGAAAGAGAAUUGGUUCCCCAAACUCUUUUAACCAGCAUUGAGUGCACAGGAGCACAACUAUCAAGACAAUCUGAGACACCAGUUCGACCCAAAGUGCUCCAAGGAACUCAUCCCUUAAAGCCUGAAACUGAACGAGAAGGACACUCAAUUAAAAUGCUGUCCACCAAGAGUAAGCCAUCAUACUUUGCUGCUGAGAAAGCAAACACUUCAACUUCAUCCUCAAAGCCACAGAUGUCCACUUCCUCUCCCACAAUCCACAAAUCAAAACACCACCGUGGCUCCCCACACUCUCCAUUAUUUCCACAUCAUCAAACUGAGCUCCCAGACCCCUUUCCUGAUCCUUCUCCUCUAAUCCCACAUGAGCAUAUCUUCCCCUUUCCGCCAUCAUCCUCUUUAAAUUCGGCCUUCACUGUCUCUCCGUCAAGUUCAGCUUCACUCCUCAAUGCCGGCCGAUCGAAGCCAUUACAAAAAGGCUCAAUAUCACCUGUCCUCCCAAAGAAGUUACAAUCAUCCCAGUUACUUCUUGAACCAAUCCCAUCAGCGAUGCCUUCCCAAUCACCAACAAGCAAUCUAAAGAGCCUGAACCAAUCCCACCAGGAGUCUCUGCUUUCAGAUCAUUCCCUUCACUUUCCUUCAUCACCUAUAUCUUCCAGCACAAAUCCACUUCAAGGAGGCUUGAAACUAUUGUUUUCCAGCUCACCUGGAGUCAGUCCCUUGCCUAUUUAUAAAUGUGGCUCUAGCUCAUUAACAUAUGCAGACGCUACAGGUUUUUUGUCCUCUACUCCAACGACAAGUGUUAAAUCACUUCCAUCAUAUCUCUUGAAAGGCACACAGGAUCCUUUGAAGGCUGUGGAGAUGGAAGAGGAAGACACACCAACAGAUAGUGAAAGUGACAUGUCCAUUGACAGCCUGGAUUUGACAGCAUGAGACUCUUCAAAUCAAUGAUGCACCUCCAUGGUCACGGGUCUGUGCGGCACCAGUUUUCUAAUCUGGCUAGCCAGCUGCUAAGCUAGCGCGGAGAAAGGCAGCGCCGGUCAGUAAGAAGCUACUCCUACAGACCGCGACCACUUCCCUGAGGACAGCAAGAACUUCACUCGGUGACAGAAAACACUGUGAGUAAUGGCUUCCUGUGCGUCUUGCACCAUACUCACGGAGAGGUUGGCUCUGCUAGAGGGCCGUGUCCGCCAGUUAGAGCAGAGUAAUGUCGUAACUUUAGAUGUUGCGGACACAUCUGCUAGCGUUAGCUGUAGCGAGCUAACUAGCCCAGCUUGUAGCAGUCCUAAGCGGCCUACAAGCUACGGUGUACCGGUUGAGACGCAUAAUAGAUUUAGCUCUUUAGCUAGUCCUACACCCCAGUCUACCGGGCACCACACCUUAGUUAUAGGGGACUCCAUCACCCGAAACAUAAAGCUUAGCAAACCAGCCACAAUAAAGUGUAUCCCCGGGGCCAGAGCACCUGACAUUGAAGCUAAUCUUAGGGAGCUAACUCGCAACAGGCCUAGUAAACACGUACGACAGGCUAAUCGCACCACUAAUUAUGCGAAUAUAGUUGUACACGUUGGCUCCAAUGACACUAGAAUGAGACAGUCAGAGAUUACAAAGAGAAACAUAGCCAGGACUUGUGAUCUCGCCAGAAAGAUGUCCAGGCAUCGAGUAAUUGUCUCUGGCCCCCUGCCUGCGAGAGGCAAUGAUGAGAGAUAUAGCAGAUUAGUCUCGCUUAACAAGUGGUUGGCUAGCUACUGUAGGACGCAGGGACUAACGUUUAUUGAUAACUGGCCCUCUUUCUGGGGCAAACCAGGCUUGCUGAUGAGAGACGGCCUUCACCCUAACCAGGAAGGCGCCAUCAUCCUGUCUAGAAACAUAGACUACUAUUUAAGUCUCACUUGACUGACUACACUAGAGCAAGCCCGGUCACAGGCAAUUACAAUGUCUGUUAGUCCGGGUGAGGAGUCAGUUAAGCUAGAACUAGCCAGCGCCAGGCUGGAUAAUCCAUGUACGCAUAGCAAUUCUCUUAGAAUAAUACACAAUUCACAUAAUGUUUUUUCUGUUGUGUCUGUGUCAGAGGUGGACAUGCAUUCUACUGAGGUGGCAAAUUAUGAUAUGUCCAGUCUAUUGCAGCACCAAGCAAACAAUCGGAAAAUUCCCGUCAUAUCAAUUCCUAGAUAUGGUCGAAACUAUUUAAAGUGCACUACGCAUAAUAAACGCAACAUUGUUAAUAUUGCCACUACGGAUAAUCUUAACAAAAACUCGUCAAAACAGCCCAAUACCUAUAAUAUGGGCUUUUUAAACAUAAGAUCAUUGUCUCCCAAGGCGUUAUUGGUUAAUGAGGUCAUUAGAGACAACAAUCUUAACGUCAUUGGUCUUAGCGAAACCUGGCUCAAACCGGACGAAUUUUUUGCGCUCAAUGAGGCAUCUCCUCCUAACUAUACGAAUGCGCAUGUUGCCCGCCCUCUUAAAAGGGGAGGGGGUGUCGCACUAAUAUACAAUGAAAAUUUCAACCUUACCCCUAACCUAAAUAAUAAAUAUAAAUCGUUUGAGGUGCUUACUAUGAGGUCCGUCACACCGCUACCUCUCGACCUGGCUGUUAUCUACCGCCCCCCUGGGCCCUAUUCGGACUUUAUCAGUGAAUUCUCAGAGUUCGUUGCUGAUCUAGUGACGCACGCCGACAAUAUAAUCAUAAUGGGGGACUUUAAUAUCCAUAUGAAUACCCCAUCGGACCCUCAGUGCGUGGCGCUCCAAACCAUAAUUGAUAGCUGUGGUCUUACACAAAUAAUACAUGAACCCACGCAUCGCAACGGUAAUACAAUAGAUCUAGUGCUUGUCAGGGGUGUCACCACCUCCAAAGUUAUGAUACUUCCAUAUACUAAAGUAAUGUCCGAUCAUUACCUUAUAAAAUUUGAAGUUUUGACUCUUUGUCAACAAGCUAAUAAUAAUAAUAACUGCUAUAGCGGCCGCAACAUUAAUGCUGCCACAACGAUGACUCUUGCUGACCUACUGCCUUCGGUAAUAGCACCAUUCCCAAAUUAUGUCGGCUCUAUUGAUAAACUCACUAACAACUUUGACGAUGCCUUGCGCGAAAUUAUUGAUAGUAUAGCACCGCUAAAGCAAAAAAGGGCCCCUAAAAGGCGCACCCCAUGGUUUACAGAAGAAAUUAGAGCUCAUAAAUUAUCAUGUAGAAAACUGGAACGCAAAUGGCGCGCGACUAAACUUGAGGUUUUCCAUCAAGCAUGGAGUGAUAGUUUAAUAACUUAUAAACGCAUGCUUACCUUAGCUAAAGCUAAAUACUACUCAAAUCUCAUCCGCCUCAACAAAAACGAUCCUAAAUUUCUGUUUAGUACAGUAGCAUCGCUAACCCAACAAGGGACUCCUCCCAGUAGCUCCACCCACUCGGCAGAUGAUUUUAUGAAUUUCUUUAAUAAGAAAAUUGAACUCAUUAGAAAGGAGAUUAAAGACAACGCAUCCCAGCUACAACUGGGUUCUAUUAACACAAAUACGACUGUAUAUACGACGGAC